rnacentral:rRNA from 1 species
UUCCGGUUGAUCCCGCCGGACCCUACUGCUAUCGGGGUGGGACUAAGACAUGCGAGUCGUGCGUCUCUAAGCCAUGGUAGAGGCGCGGCGUACGGCUCAGUAACACGUGGUUAACCUACCCUUAGGACGGGGACAACCCCGGGAAACUGGGGCUAAUUUCUGAUAGGUGAGGAGGCCUGGAAUGGUUCUUCGCCGAAAAGGCGUUGAAACCAUGCUUUUCAACGUCGCCUAAGGAUGGGGCCGCGCCCGAUCAGGUUGUUGGUGAGGUAACGGCUCACCAAGCCUAUAACCGGUACGGGCCGUGAGAGCGGGAGCCCGGAGAUGGGCACUGAGACAAGGGCCCAGGCCCUACGGGGCGCAGCAGUCGCGAAGACUCCGCAAUGCGCGAAAGCGUGACGGGGCUACCCCGAGUGCCGUCCGCUGAGGAUGGCUUUUCCCCGGUGUAAUGAGCCGGGGGAAUAAGGAGAGGGCAAGACUGGUGUCAGCCGCCGCGGUAAUACCAGCUCUCCGAGUGGUAGGGACGAUUAUUGGGCUUAAAGCGUCCGUAGCCGGCUUAGCAAGUCUCCUGUUAAAUUCAGCGACUCAAUCGUUGAGCCGCGGGAGAUACUACUAGGCUAGGAGGCGGGAGAGGUCGACGGUAUUCUCGGGGGAGGGGUGAAAUCCUAUAAUCCCGGGAGGACCACCAGUGGCGAAGGCUGUCGGCUAGAACGCGCUCGACGGUGAGGGACGAAAGCUGGGGGGAGCGAACCGGAUUAGAUACCCGGGUAGUCCCAGCUGUAAACGAUGCGGGCUAGGUGUUGAGGUGGCUACGAGCCACUUCAGUGCCGCAGGGAAGCCAUUAAGCCCGCCGCCUGGGGAGUACGGCCGCAAGGCUGAAACUUAAAGGAAUUGGCGGGGGAGCACCAC